UUCUGCAUUGCAGGCUCUCGGCCCGGCUUCGCUCCCGCGUUCGCGGCUCUGCCGAAAGCAGCCCGCAUCUCGGGUCCUGCUGGGGCGAGAGGCCGCUGUGGACAGGCGGUGCCUCGUCCCUCCCGUGCUUCCCGAGCCCUGGCAGGACGUGUGGGAAGCCGACCUUAGUCAGGUAGAUGUGGGAUGUGCGUGUGCUGUUCGUUCCGUCUCUGGAAGAGCUGUGGAAUCUGUGCAGAUAAUGAUUGUUUGGAGUUUACGGGGUGUGAUUCUGUGCAGGGAGAGGUAAUGUGCAUGUAAAACAUAAUGCAGUGAGGCACGCGACCUUACAUAAUCUGAAUUUGAAAGCUUGCUUCCCCUAUGCUUAUGCUGGAGCUUGUAGGAGAUGUCUCUUCUGAGCGCUUUCUGGAGCUUAUUGCUCGUCUGUCUGCACUAAUGAUGUGAUGUCCCUCAUGACCCAGUGCUGAAAAUAAAAAAAACCGGAUCACUGACCACUUUUUCUGUAGCUCUGUCACGGUAAUUUCCCAUCCCUGGUCCCUGUUGUACACACACUGUGAUAGUCAUGGCUGUGUGGGCAUACACACUCCACACUGCGAGAGGGAGUGGUCUUUCCCGUUGUCUGUUAAAUGCACCUCAAAAUUGACCGAGUAGAAGUGUUGUAUUUUAACAAACUCAGGCCUGAGUAGUGCUGCCAUUUCUAGUGCAGGGAUGUAAAUGUAUAUGUGAACAGAAAGAAACCUUUCACGCUUCCCAUUUGACCUUCAUCUCAGACAAAUGUUUGAAACUGAUGAUUGGGGCAAAUAUUUUGCCCUGGAAUGACUGAAAAUACGUUGCUGGACACAACGUUCAUGACUCAAAUCAUGUACAAGAUGAAAUGGAGUGCUUUAAGCUGAAAGGAAACUAACGUGCUAAAUUUGGCCCACAUUUUAACUCAGUCCUUACAGGUGACAUUGACUUCAGAGAAGGUUGCUAUGGCACAGAUUUAAAGGAGAAGAUCUCGAGCUUCUGGAAUUUAAGUGCUAUUGAUGCUGACUGAAGGGGAUAAAACUGGAAAGCCAAUGAUCUUGGAGAGACUGGAGAUGUGGGAGAUCUGACUUGUAACAUAACUGCACAUAAUACUCCAGAGCUUCAAAAUCAGAAGUAAAUUCAUCUGGACAGUUGCCACCUGCCUUCCUAAAUAGGAGGAAAAAAGGGAUUAUUGGUGCCUGCCUCGUUUGCUUCACCAAAAUGAGAUAGGGCAUGCAGGAGAGAAGGGAUAGUUUUGCAAGUGGAAGCUACAAUGUAGGUGAAGCUGCAGACCUGGUUAUGUGGAACGACUUUACCAUAGAACCAUAGAACAUUGAGGGACACUUGUUUUCUCUUGAGUGCCAUCUGACUUAUCGACCACACUUCUUGUGAAACAGGAAUGCUCUGAAGUUACUAAUGGU